CUUUGAGUUUGUUCGGGCGAGGAGAGAGACGCGUCUUCUCCGUCUUCUAAAGAUGAUGAUUUCCUGAAAUGUUAAUAUUGGCACAAAUCUGAAGAAUAUAGUAGCAGCAGACAGAAAAACUAACCAGGAGCAACAGCCGUUGGAAGUGAGACGCAGAUUAGAUAGCCAAGGGCUACCCUCAGAUGACCGAGGCAGGCACAGUCAUGUUUCGUCUUUGGACAUCAGUGGAAGACGAAGUCCAGGAAGACAUUGUGCAGCCCUGGAAGAUGGUGGCAGCGACAAUUCAGAGCGCCGUGGAUUGGUCUUAGAGGCCAGAGGCAGGGGCAGUCUGGAUAGUCAUGAUUGGAAACUUGAACCAGACUUGAAGCUGAUUUCACAAGAGAUCCGCAAGAGAGAGAGAGAGAGAAAUGCUGACCUUUUACAAAAGGCAUAUUUGCUGGGCUCGUCCAUUUUCAGUCAUCCUCAGGGGAACUGCUGACAUACUCCAGCCCCAUGAGGUCUAGCAUUGUCCUGCGUUAGGAGGAAUC